AUGGGUGGGCAGUUCGGAGGCGGCCACGGCUUUCCCGCGUGUUCUCGGCGCCCGGUCCGCCGCGGUGUGGGACGCAGGGUUUGGGUGGCCCGCGGCCGGGAGCGGUGUGCGGACCCCCGGAGUGAGGCCGGCCUCCCCAGGACCCGGCCCGCCGGGUGUUCCUGCCUUUCGCUGGUCCGCGUGCGGCGCCCUGCGUCGGCAUUUGUCCUGCUGCCCUCCUCCCGCGUCCGCGCGGCGGGGACCCCGGAGGUUUCGUGGGCGCUUCCUGUGGGGUGCACCGGAUGGCCCCGGUGCCAGCGCUCCCUCGGGACUCCGGGGUGGGAGAAGGGCGUUCCGGUCAGCAACCCGAGUCUGGCCCAAGAGCAGAUGCCCUCGGUGCCCCAGGCCCCCUCUGCGCCCCGCGCGCCCCUGCUGACUCCGCCCCUACCCCUUGCACCUGCAGACCCCGCCCCUCCUCUUUGCCCCUCGCUCCCCUGCAGACCUGCCCCGCCCACUGCGCACCUGCAAACCCCACCACUCCUCAUUGCCCCGCGUUCCCCUGCAGACCUGCGCCCCCGUGCACCUGCAGACCCCGCUCCCCACCUUGAACCUGCAGACCCCGCCCCUCCUCUUUGCCCCUCACUCCCCUGCAGACUCCGCCCCUGCCCCGUGCACCUGCAGACCCCGCCCCUCCUCUUUGCCCCUCGCUCCCCUGCAGACCUGCCCCGCCCACUGUGCACCUGCAAACCUCGCCGCUCCUCAUUGCCCCGCGUUCCGCUGCAGACCUGCGCCCCCGUGCACCUGCAGACCCCGCUCCCCACCUUGAACCUGCAGACCCCGCUCCUCCUCAUUGCCCCUCACUCCCCUGCAGACUCCGCCCCUGCCCCGUGCACCUGCAGAUCCCGCCCCUCCUCAUUUACCUCGCUCCCCUGCAGACCUGCCCAGCCCCACUUUGAACCUGCAGACCCCGCCUCCGGAGACCGCUCUGGGGCCCUCCCUGGCUGCGUGUCUGACCCGCCAAGGCACCUGGUAUCCCACGCCGGCCCACCGUGCAGGGUUUGGGUGAGCGCUACGCGGUGGCCUAGAGAAAGCACUCACCGGUUACCUAGCACGGAUCAAUACCCGAUAAACUUUGCUCACGGAUUCGGGGAGCAUGGAGUUAGAUUGACAGACCCUGGUGCUCAUCUCAAGUGGUACUGA
rnacentral:lncRNA from 1 species